UGGGGGAUAUUGCACAAUGGGCGAAAGCCUGAUGCAGCGACGCCGCGUGGGGGAUGAAGGCUUUCGGGUUGUAAACCUCUUUCGCUAUCGAACAAGGCCCGCUUAGGGUGGGUUGAGGGUAGGUGGAGAAGAAGCGCCGGCUAACUACGUGCCAGCAGCCGCGGUAAUACGUAGGGCGCGAGCGGUGUCCGGCAUUAUUGGGCGUAAAGGGCGUGUAGGCGGAUUGUUGCGCGUGCUGUGAAAACGCGGGGCUUAACUUCGCGCGUGGAGUGGGUACGGGCAGGCUUGAGUGUGGUAGGGGUGACUGGAAUUCCAGGUGUAGCGGUGGAAUGCGCAGAUAUCUGGAGGAGCACCGAUGGCGAAGGCAGGGCACUGGGCCAUUACUGACGCUGAGGAGCGAAAGCAUGGGUAGCGAAGAGG
rnacentral:rRNA from 1 species